rnacentral:rRNA from 1 species
CCUACGGGAGGCAGCAGUGGGGAAUAUUGGACAAUGGGCGAAAGCCUGAUCCAGCAACGCCGCGUGAGGGAUGACGGCCUUCGGGUUGUAAACCUCUUUCAGCAGGGACGAAGCGAAAGUGACGGUACCUGCAGAAGAAGGACCGGCCAACUACGUGCCAGCAGCCGCGGUAAUACGUAGGGUCCGAGCGUUGUCCGGAAUUAUUGGGCGUAAAGGGCUCGUAGGCGGUUUGUCGCGUCGGGAGUGAAAACUCAGGGCUCAACCCUGAGCGUGCUUACGAUACGGGCAAACUAGAGGUAUGCAGGGGAGAACGGAAUUCCUGGUGUAGCGGUGGAAUGCGCAGAUAUCAGGAGGAACACCGGUGGCGAAGGCGGUUCUCUGGGCAUUACCUGACGCUGAGGAGCGAAAGCAUGGGGAGCGAACAGGAUUAGAUACCCUAGUAGUC